AAAAAGAAGAAAAAGAAAAGAAUAAGAACGAACAAUUAAAGAAAAAGGAAAGAAAGAAAGGAGGGCCCGCCCCUGCAUGGGGGUGCAGGGGAGCGUCUGCAUGAAUUUCCU
rnacentral:rRNA from 11 species